ACUCCGGGUGCCUCGGCCGGUCGGACGGUGCGGCCCGCGACGGCGAGCAUUGGAGCCUGGGGGCGCGGGGUCGAGGCCCGGAAGCUGCUGGUCACCAUGGCAAUGCGGGAGCUGGUGGAGGGCGAAUGUGGGGGUGCCAACCCGCUGAUGAAGCUGGCCACCCAUUUCACCCAGGACAAGGCCCUUCGGCAGGAGGGACUGAGGCCUGGCCCCUGGCCUCCGGGAGCCUCAGCAGCAGAGACCGUUUCCAAGCCUUUGGGAGUAGGAACUGAAGACGAGUUUUCGUUUCUCUGUCCAACAUCAGUGGGCCCUGCCUCUGGCUGAGGCCCUCUGAUCCUAAUGUUCAUCCGACCAUCUCUCUGUAAUAGUUGGUGUCAGAAUUCCUGCAGGACCAGAAUGCAACUCUUGUAUCCCGAGCCCCUCAGACCUUCAAGAUGGAUGACCUCCUGGCAGAGAUGCAGGAGAUUGAACAGUCAAACUUUCGCCAGGCUCCUCAGAGAGCCCCUGGUGUGGCAGAUUUGGCCUUGUCUGAGAAUUGGGCCCAGGAGUUUCUUGCAGCUGGAGAUGCUGUGGAUGUAGCUCAAGAUUAUAAUGAGACCGACUGGUCCCAAGAAUUCAUCGCCGAAGUUACAGACCCACUGUCCGUGUCCCCUGCCCGAUGGGCUGAGGAGUAUCUGGAGCAGUCUGAGGAGAAGCUGUGGUUGGGAGACCAGGAAGGAUCCUCUACCGCUGAUCGAUGGUACGAUGAAUAUCAUCCUGAGGAGGACCUGCAGCACACAGCCAGUGACUUUGUGUCCAAGGUGGACGACCCCAAAUUGGCUAACUCUGAGUUCCUGAAAUUCGUGCGGCAGAUUGGCGAGGGGCAGGUGUCCCUGGAGUCGGCUGCAGGGUCGGGCGGAGCUCAGGCAGAACAGUGGGCAGCAGAGUUUAUACAGCAGCAGGGCACGUCAGAGGCCUGGGUUGAUCAGUUUACAAGACCAGGAAACAAAAUAGCUGCCCUUCAGGUGGAAUUUGAACGAGCCAAGUCAGCUAUAGAGUCUGAUGUCGAUUUCUGGGACAAGUUACAGGCAGAGUUGGAGGAGAUGGCCAAGCGGGAUGCCGAGGCGCACCCCUGGCUUUCUGACUAUGAUGACCUCACAUCCGCUUCCUAUGACAAGGGUUACCAGUUUGAGGAGGAGAAUCCCUUGCGUGACCACCCUCAGCCUUUUGAAGAAGGGCUGCAUCGACUGGAGGAGGGAGACCUGCCCAAUGCUGUGUUGCUCUUCGAGGCUGCUGUGCAGCAGGAUCCUAAGCACAUGGAAGCUUGGCAGUACCUGGGCACCACCCAGGCCGAGAAUGAGCAAGAGCUCUUGGCUAUCAGUGCCCUGCGGAGGUGUCUGGAACUAAAGCCAGAUAACCGGACAGCACUGAUGGCGCUGGCUGUGAGCUUUACCAAUGAGUCCCUGCAGCGCCAGGCCUGUGAGACGUUGAGGGACUGGCUGCGCUACUCACCGGCCUACGCUCAUCUGGUGGCUCCUGGGGAAGAAGGGGCGACCGGGGCAGGCCCCAGCAAGCGCAUCUUGGGAUCUCUGUUGUCUGACUCCCUGUUUCUUGAAGUAAAAGAUCUCUUCCUGGCGGCUGUGCGUCUGGACCCUACAUCCAUUGACCCUGAUGUGCAGUGUGGCCUGGGAGUCCUCUUCAACCUGAGCGGGGAGUACGACAAGGCUGUGGACUGUUUCACAGCUGCCCUCAGUGUUCGCCCCAAUGACUAUUUGAUGUGGAACAAGCUUGGGGCCACCCUGGCCAAUGGGAACCAGAGUGAAGAAGCAGUGGCUGCAUACCGCCGAGCCCUUGAACUACAGCCUGGGUAUAUUCGGUCCCGGUAUAACCUAGGCAUCAGCUGCAUCAACCUGGGAGCUCACCGUGAGGCUGUGGAGCACUUUCUGGAGGCUCUGAACAUGCAGAGGAAGAGCCGGGGCCCUCGGGGUGAGGGGGGCGCCAUGUCUGAGAACAUCUGGAGUACCCUGCGCUUGGCGUUAUCCAUGUUAGGCCAGAGCGAUGCCUAUGGGGCAGCCGAUGCUCGGGAUCUGUCUGCCCUCCUAGCUAUGUUUGGCCUGCCCCAGUGACAGUGGGAUGGGCUGCCCUGUGAGUGUCUGCUUGGAGGGGUCCGCGCUCUGGGUGUGACUCCCUCUCCUCAAACGGGCCUACCAAGGGGGUGGGCUGAUGACCACAAGCGGUACGACCUCUCAGGAGCUGCCUCAGAGUAGGGGUGCAUAGCUGUGUCUUAGGUCCUACUUAAUUGUAGGGAUGAGCUGUCUCUGUCCCUUGGUAAUUCAAGGGCUGUCUACCCAGCUACAGAUCUCUUUCUGUUCAUCAGGCCCUUUCUUGGUGCUGCUUCUUGGGUCGGACCCAAUGACAUAGGGGAGUUGUCAUCUGCCGUUUCUGAUAGGGUCUGCCACAUUUGUAAGUCUCUCCUUGCCCCAUCUUCCUGGGAAUUGGUAACAGUCCAGCUUCCUUGGGCAGUUGUGUGUAAGAGGCUCCCCUGAGCAUCUGUGCGACGCCAGCUGGGAUGGAUGUUAGGAGCUGCCCUGCUCGCUGAAAUGGUGAUGCGGCUCCCUAGAGCCGAACUUGGAACAAGUGCUCGCAGCUCGGUCACUCCGGGAGCGAGCAUGGAUCUUCUGUGGGUGGACACUGAAGCAGCAGAUGCUCAUGUGGUUACUGUACUGUCCUCAGGGCCAGGGCUUGUCACUGCAGGUGGCCUGGCCUAUGGGGGAGGGAGGUUCAUUUGUGGAAUGAGCCCAGAGAUGCGACAGUAGUGAUACGGUCAGCACUGCAGUCCUCUCUUCUUGGGAGACUUGGAAGUAGGAACUAAACAAACUCUUGUAGCAACCUGGUUCAGAAGUUGCAUUCUUGCCAAAUUCCCAACCAAGGGAGGGUUCAGUGUUACCAUAAGCCUUCUUGAAACCUUUAUAGGGGAUAUCAUUGAAAACCCCCUUCCCCUCGAUUACCUCCACAAGGUGAAGAUGAAGGGAUUCUGAGGGAGCAGCUGGAGACGUCUCCACUGUUUCUGUGUGGGGAGAUGCACAGACCCCCAUAAAUGACUGCUAAGCCUCUUACCUUGUCUUCAGUAGCUAAUGAUCAGAUUUUUUUUUUUUUUAAACUGCCAUGGUCCCAAAAUCCCAUCCUGAAAUUUAUUUUUCUUUGUAUGCAUAUGUGUAAAUGAUUUAAAAAUAAAACUGUAAAAUAUUUGUAUGAAGAAUAAACUGGACUGACGUGGGUA